AUUAAUUGGUGGGUACUGUUACAUGCGUUGUGUUUUACUCCUAUGUGAUAUAAUAUUCUUAUAUGAGUCCAAAGUAUCUUUAAAACAGAGCGUUUGAUCCUUUUAUGUGAGAGUUUCUUAUCAUUUCCAUUUUCCUCUAGUUGACAUAAUUUGUUGGGAUUUCAUUAAACAUAAAAAGUGUUAAGUUGUUGGGGAGAGAAUAUAUCGA
rnacentral:misc_RNA from 1 species